rnacentral:rRNA from 1 species
UACGUAGGUGGCAAGCGUUGUCCGGAUUUACUGGGCGUAAAGAGCGCGCAGGCGGUCGUUUAAGUCGAAUGUGAAAGCCCCCGGCUCAACUGGGGAGGGUCAUUCGAUACUGAUCGACUUGAAGGCAGGAGAGAGAAGUGGAAUUCCCGGUGUAGCGGUGGAAUGCGUAGAGAUCGGGAAGAACAUCAGUGGCGAAGGCGGUCUGCUGGGCCGUUGCUGACGCUGAGGCGCGACAGCGUGGGGAGCAAACAGG